UACAAGAGGUAACUGUAUUGGUGAUAACAAAAAGAUCUCUUUUUCUUGUGGUAAAAAUGUGUCCCUAUCCUGAAACCAGACAGUGGCCAGCUAACUAGUUCUGUACCUUGUGUUCAGAUCUGGCUUCAGUGGCUUACAUGCUUCCUUAUGCUCCACAUUCCUUGCAGAAUGGGUUGUCACUCUGUCCCUCAGUAGGGUGCUUUUCUACAAUUACCUCGGUGCCUUCUGGAAAACUCAAAUUAAACAAAUAUCUUUCCUCUCAGGUAGCGAAUGUAUGGCCUGCAAGUUUUUUAUUGUAUCUACCAGCACAGAAGUCAGGAAAGAAGAUGACGCUUCUUACACAGCCCAAAGCAGCCAGACGGCCAUAGUGACUUUGUCAGCAAAACAUUCUUCUGCAUCAAGGAAGGAGUGAAAGGAGAAAUUCACACUGGGGCAAUUCCAUCAGACAGAGGCUUAAAUGAGGCAGGAAUAAGGAAUUCAUAAAGCCACAUUAUCUUCUCUGUAUGCUUCAUGGUUUGUGAUCAUUGCCACUAUCAAGGAAGCUGCACGGAAGGACUGCCACGUGUGUAUAUUUCAAUGCUCCAACAGUUGCAUCUUCAGUAGUGACACUCUCCAAAAAUUCAGGAUUGUUGUGUGGCUCACAUUCGUAACCUGCAAAACCCUGAAACAAUACUAGGCAUCAAAAAUUCCUAAGCUGCAACUCAACGGAAAUGGUUGGCUGUUAAUUCUAACCAGGGUCCCACUAAACCCUGAAGACGGAGGAAGGGCAUUCGGACUUCAAAGCACCAUUCACCAGGCCUUUCCUAGCCUGGGAGCAAGUGCCAGCGUA